rnacentral:rRNA from 1 species
UACGUAGGGGGCAAGUGUUAUCCGGAUUUACUGGGUGUAAAGGGAGCGUAGACGGCGAUGCAAGCCAGAUGUGAAAGCCCGGGGCUCAACCCCGGGACUGCAUUUGGAACUGUGUGGCUGGAGUGUCGGAGAGGCAGGCGGAAUUCCUAGUGUAGCGGUGAAAUGCGUAGAUAUUAGGAGGAACACCAGUGGCGAAGGCGGCCUGCUGGACGAUGACUGACGUUGAGGCUCGAAAGCGUGGGGAGCAAACAGG